CGCGUAGGCGGUUUUGUGCGUCACACGUGAAAGCCCCCGGCUCAACCGGGGAGGGUCGUGUGAAACGGCGAGACUGGAGGCAGCGAGAGGUUGGUGGAAUUCCCGGAGUAGUGGUGAAAUGCGUAGAGAUCGGGAGGAACACCGGUGGCGAAGGCGGCCAACUGGCGCUGGCCUGACGCUGAGGCGCGAAGGCGUGGGGAGCGAACG
rnacentral:rRNA from 1 species